GUAGUACUCCCACCGUCCGGAAAUACUUGUCAUAGGAAUGGAUAUAUCUAGAUAUAUUUUAAUUAUCCAUUUUUAUCAAUUUAUGGGACAAGUAAUUCCAGACGGAGGGAGUAUAUA
rnacentral:pre_miRNA from 1 species